AAAUAUGACCAAUUUACACCGACCGUUGCAUUGACCUUCAUGUCAGACGUUAAAUGCUAACGUGACAAUUGUAGGACCCACCACAAAACCUAUUUAUCUAUCUUCCCUGCGUCUCUCUCUUCUCCUUCGACAGUCAUUGUGCAAACAAUGACUGUUCGUCUUCCCAGUGACACAAUGCGGUUGUCCGGCCACCUCCGACUAUGGGAUCGAUCGAAAAAUGACCGGUUACUUUCGGCAACCAUGUCUCGGCCAAGGCCCGACUUCUCCAGUUCCUCAUGAUGCCAACGAGAGGUUGGGAAGGUAGAAUGAGGGUUUCGCCUUCCAAUGCCAAUUCCGGCGACUCAUGUGACCGUUGACAUCAAUUAAGUUCUUGGCCGGGGCUCAAGAACAAAACUUGCUCCCCCAAUUAGCCGGUCAUUUUCUUACCAGUCCCGUAAUCGGAGGUGGCCGGAAGGCGGCGUUGUGUGUAGCAAGAAAGACGAAUAGUCAUUGUGCAAAUAGUAACUGUGUCAAAGAGGAAGAGAAACACAAGAAAGAGAGAGAAAUUGGUUUUGUGGUAGGUCCCACAACUACCAUGUCAGCAUUUAACGUCGGACCUGAUGGUUAAUGUAACUCCUGAUGUAAAUUGAUCAUAUUUUGAAAUGUAAGGUAUGAAAUUGAUGAAA